rnacentral:tRNA from 1 species
GGAGGUGUAGCUCAGUGAUUGAGCACUUGCCUAGGCUGACCAAGAUUCUGGGUUCAAUCCCCAGCACCAUGA